GCCCUAGUAACGGCGAGUGUAGCGGCAAUAGCUCAAAUUUGAAAGCUGGCCUUUGGUCCGCAUUGUAAUUUGUAGAGGAUGCUUUUAGGCAGCCGCCGGUCUAAGUUCCUUGGAACAGGACGUCAUAGAGGGUGAGAAUCCCGUAUGUGACCGGCUCAGGCACCUUCUGUAAAGCUCCUUCGACGAGUCGAGUUGUUUGGGAAUGCAGCUCUAAAUGGGAGGUAAAUUUCUUCUAAAGCUAAAUACUGGCGAGAGACCGAUAGCGCACAAGUAGAGUGAUCGAAAGAUGAAAAGUACUUUGGAAAGAGAGUUAAAAAGCACGUGAAAUUGUUGAAAGGGAAGCGCUUGCAAUCAGACUUGGCCUCGGUUGUUCAACCGGUCUUUUGACCGGCCUAUUCAAUCGGGGGCAGGCCAGCAUCAGUUUCGGCGGCCGGAUAAAGGCCUUGGGAAUGUGGCCUCUCCUUCGGGGGAGGUGUUAUAGCCCAGGGUGUAAUACGGUCAGCUGGGACUGAGGUCCGCGCUUCGGCUAGGAUGCUGGCGUAAUGGUUGUAAGCGGCCCGUCUUGAAACACGGACCAAGGAGUCUAACAUCUAUGCGAGUGUUAGGGUGUCAAACCCUUACGCGUAAUGAAAGUGAACGGAGGUGGGAACCCGCAUGGGUGCACCAUCGACCGAUCCUGAUGUCUUCGGAUGGAUUUGAGUAAGAGCAUAGCUGUUGGGACCCGAAAGAUGGUGAACUAUGCCUGAAUAGGGUGAAGCCAGAGGAAACUCUGGUGGAGGCUCGCAGCGGUUCUGACGUGCAAAUCGAUCGUCAAAUUUGGGUAUAGGGGCGAAAGACUAAUCGAACCAUCUAGUAGCUGGUUCCUGCCGAAG
rnacentral:rRNA from 1 species